rnacentral:tRNA from 1 species
GAGGGUAUAGCUCAGUCGCAGAGUGCAUGCUUAGCAUGCACUAGGUCCCGGGUUCAAUGCCCGGUACCUCUG